AGAGUUUGAUCAUGGCUCAGGACGAACGCUGGCGGCGUGCCUAAUGCAUGCAAGUCGAGCGACGCAUACUGGAGGGGUAACCCACCGGUAUGACGGAGCGGCGAACGGGUGAGUAACACGUGAGUAACCUACCCCGAAGACCGGGAUAACCCAGGGAAACCUGGGCUAAUACCGGAUACUCUCGGACCUUCGCAUGGAGGACCGAGGAAAGCUUUAGCGCUUCGGGAUGGGCUCGCGGCCUAUCAGCUAGUUGGUGGGGUAACGGCCCACCAAGGCUUUGACGGGUAGCUGGUCUGAGAGGACGAUCAGCCACACUGGGACUGAGACACGACCCAGACUCCUACGGGAGGCAGCAGCAGGGAAUCUUGCGCAAUGGGCGAAAGCCUGACGCAGCAACGCCGCGUGGGGGAUGAAGGCCUUCGGGUUGUAAACCCCUUUCAGGAGGGAAGAAAAUGACGGUACCUCCAGAAGAAGCCCCGGCCAACUACGUGCCAGCAGCCGCGGUAAUACGUAGGGGGCGAGCGUUGUCCGGAAUUAUUGGGCGUAAAGAGCUCGUAGGCGGCUCAGCAAGUCGGCUGUGAAAUCCCGAGGCUCAACCUCGGAACUGCAGUCGAUACUGCUGUGGCUAGAGUCUGGUAGAGGAGAGUGGAAUUCCCGGUGUAGCGGUGAAAUGCGCAGAUAUCGGGAGGAACACCAGUAGCGAAGGCGGCUCUCUGGGCCAGUACUGACGCUGAGGAGCGAAAGCGUGGGGGAGCAAACAGGAUUAGAUACCCUGGUAGUCCACGCCGUAAACGUUGGGUACUAUGUGUGGCGUCUCGAUCAACGGAUGCCGUGCCGAAGCUAACGCAUUAAGUACCCCGCCUGGGGAGUACGGCCGCAAGGCUAAAACUCAAAGGAAUUGACGG
rnacentral:rRNA from 1 species